CAGUCGCCGCGGUAAUACGUAGGGUGCGAGCGUUAAUCGGAAUUACUGGGCGUAAAGCGUGCGCAGGCGGUUCGUUAAGACAGAUGUGAAAUCCCCGGGCUUAACCUGGGAACUGCAUUGGUGACUGGCGAGCUAGAGUAUGGCAGAGGGGGGUAGAAUUCCACGUGUAGCAGUGAAAUGCGUAGAGAUGUGGAGGAAUACCGAUGGCGAAGGCAGCCCCCUGGGCCAAUACUGACGCUCAUGCACGAAAGCGUUGGGAGCAAACAGGAUUAGAUACCCCUGUAGUCCCUGUCUCUUAUAC
rnacentral:rRNA from 1 species